AGAAGUAUGGGAAAAUCCUAGAAAUCGCACUGACGUUUAUGUCGAUCCACAAGGACAUCACUGACAGCAUGCCCAACUUGAUCAAAAGAAUAAUGGACACUUUUGCUGCAGCAAAAGAACGAAAGGAAGACUUCUUCUUCAAAUAGAUUUUCUCAAAACAGGUAGGAUCAAGAUAACAUCUCAUUUACCAUGCCCUUGACAACUUCAAACUGUUUUAACCUAAUUGUGCACGCCCACUUUUAAGGCCCACGAGCCGCCCCUGAUUAUUACCAUUAUUCAUUAUUAAUAAUGAUUUUACAUUAUUAGUGGAGUUAUUCUUUUUGCUAUAGUUAAUGUUGUCAUCGUCGUCGGUUUUUUUCUCUCUUCUUCUUAUCAUUAUUCUAAUGUCAUGGAAAAACUGUCUAACUUAUCCAAACUUGUCAUUUUUCUCCUUACAGUUAAUUUUCUUAAAAAUUCGGGCCAACUGACUUCCGACGCAUAGAAUCUACUUUAUACAAACGUGCUCUGAACAAAACAGAUUUGGUACGUUCUGGUAAGGUCACCCUGAAAUUAUCUUGCAAAUAAAAUUAUACAUGGAUUAAGAUAAGGCGAAUGGCAGCUCUAAGUGGGAAUGAGAAACUGAAGAGGAUAAAAAAAAAGAAAGACAAACAAACUUUGAAGUGCUUGUCACAUAAACAUGGGUUGCAUGUUGACUUAAUAGUUAUCUUUGACGCAAUCAUCAAAAUACGCAUGUCAAAACAGCGCGUUUUGGGGGGCUGUUAUUGCGCAAAUAGUACCCAAAAAAAACAACAAAUUUUGGACCCGGAAGGACGCGUUGCCAUGAGUAACAAGAGUUAAUACAGGAUACACAACACUCGCCGAAUCUCCAUAAAAGUGCUGGACAUCCCGAAAUAAAGCGUGGACUUUCCUCGCAUCACCAACGCCUCGUGGAGACCGUAAAGAAUAGGCUUACUUGUCGAGACAGUUCCCAGAUAUCGCCCGAAGAUGAAGAUGAAAAUCUGCCUUAUACAUGCCGCCCUCGCCAUUCUUGCCAUUGGUGGAGAAGCUACAACAACAUCUGCAACGCAGACAACAGGGACGUCAGCAUCGACAACAGAUCCGUCAGCAUCAGCAACUUCAGCAAAGGCAACAGAUACGUCAGCACCAGCAACGUCAGCAUCAGCAACGUCAGCAUCGGCAAAAGGACCGGCAGCAUCGGCAGCAUCGGCAGCAUCGGCAGCAACGGUAAUAGGGCCGACAGCUUCAGGAGGUGGAUUAACAGAGGAAGAAAAAAAGAAGAUAAAGGAGGUCACAGAUAUAGCUGGUAAGGACCCGACUUGUUGCAGUGGUUCAGCACCGACAGGCUCAUUCUCAACCAAGAACGAGGGAUGCAGCUUUCUAAAGACGUACCUCGGAACAUGUGAUAAAAAAAAAGCAAUCUGUGAAACACAUAUCAAGAAAAUCACAGACGGCUAUAAUGCUUUGAAGUGUGGCUGUACCUUCCUCCAAGCGUCUGCACUGUUGGUGGCCAUGUUUGCCGUGAUGACGUCAGUGUGGUCUAAACGUGGCUGAAGGCACACAGUUAUCAAUGACGUCAGACUGAGCUGUCGCUCCAAAAGUCAUGACGUUGUCAUCUGAGGGAUUUUGAGACACUUUUCUAAAUUUCUAACACUAUUUAUUGUACUAUGGUUAUUUUACCUUACUUUUCAAACAUCUUAUUGCACUAAUUUGUUAUUUUAUAUAGAUCUAGUCUAAGACAAAAUCUCUUCAACACAAGAGAACUAUUUAUUUAAUUUACUGUGUCUUUUGUUAAGGGUUUUGCAUGUUAGCCUACAUGUAUUUUCUGUGGAGGGGGGGU
rnacentral:lncRNA from 1 species